GCUAUUUUGGCAGACUAAUUGUUAUUAAAUUUAGAAUUUAAUUAUAUAUAAUUUAUUAUAUAAAUAGUA
rnacentral:tRNA from 1 species